AACGAACGCUGGCGGCAGGCCUAACACAUGCAAGUCGAACGCUCCGCAAGGGGAGUGGCAGACGGGUGAGUAACACGUGGGAAUCUUCCUGUUGGUACGGAAUAGCUCAGGGAAACUUGGGGUAAUACCGUAUAAGCCCGAGAGGGGAAAGAUUUAUCGCCGACAGAUGAGCCCGCGUCUGAUUAGCUAGUUGGUGAGGUAAUGGCUCACCAAGGCGACGAUCAGUAGCUGGUCUGAGAGGAUGACCAGCCACACUGGGACUGAGACACGGCCCAGACUCCUACGGGAGGCAGCAGUGGGGAAUAUUGGACAAUGGGCGCAAGCCUGAUCCAGCCAUGCCGCGUGAGUGACGAAGGUCUUCGGAUUGUAAAGCUCUUUUACCAGGGACGAUAAUGACGGUACCUGGAGAAUAAGCCCCGGCUAACUUCGUGCCAGCCGCCGCUGUAACAC
rnacentral:rRNA from 1 species